CCUACGGGUGGCAGCAGUGAGGAAUAUUGGUCAAUGGACGAGAGUCUGAACCAGCCAAGUAGCGUGAAGGAUGACUGCCCUAUGGGUUGUAAACUUCUUUUAUAUGGGAAUAAAAUGUUCCACGUGUGGGAUUUUGUAUGUACCAUAUGAAUAAGGAUCGGCUAACUCCGUGCCAGCAGCCGCGGUAAUACGGAGGAUCCGAGCGUUAUCCGGAUUUAUUGGGUUUAAAGGGAGCGUAGGUGGUUUGUUAAGUCAGUUGUGAAAGUUUGCGGCGCAACCGUAAAAUUGCAGUUGAAACUGGCAGUCUUGAGUACAGUAGAGGUGGGCGGAAUUCGUGGUGUAGCGGUGAAAUGCUUAGAUAUCACGAAGAACUCCGAUUGCGAAGGCAGUUCACUGGACUGCAACUGACACUGAGGCUCGAAAGUGUGGGUAUCAAACAGGAUUAGAUACCCUAGUAGUC
rnacentral:rRNA from 1 species